ACUCUACAUUUCUCUGCGCUGGCCAUCCGAGUGUCUGCCUCAACGCCGCUGUUCGACUCUCAGCCUAGCUCGCCAGCAGCCCUUUGCCCUUCCCCCUCACCUCCCCACACUAGCAGCAAGGAUGUCGCCUGUUCCCUGGUGGCCGAGCCUGGCCCCUGCGCCCAGCCCAUCUCCUUGGACGCCGCCAACCCUGGUGCUUGCCCGGGAACUGCCCUUUCCUGUCCAUGGUACCCAAGCUCUGCUCGACACCCCUUCCAGCGCGCGUCCUUGCUCCCUUUGUCGCUGCUCCCCACCGUGCCGAGUGUCCAGCUCGCCGGCCGAACUCCCUCAACGCCAGCCUCCAUGGCAGCCAGCGCUCCACUUCUCCCUGCAGGCGCCCCCUCACUGGAUCUCCUCCUUUUGUGACCAGCGCCGCUCCCUGGUCCGACUCCAAUCUCAGCGCGACACCUCCACCUCGGGGAAUAGUGGCAGUCCCAACGUCUCUAUGUCCCGUGGCUGCUCGUCGAGCUCAACCCAAGUCGAGGUCUUGUACGCAGCAGCAAGCCUCGGAUCCCUCCGCGUCGCAUGCGUCGACUCUAUUUGCAACCCUGUGCUGUCGAUCUGUGCAGUCCCGACGUCUUCGCAUCUCGCUUCGCCGGAUCUGUCAGCCUCGUUGCUCCUCGUCCGGUACGUUAAUUGAUCACGUGCUAUGGAAGACGAGUGGAAGUGAUCUCCAAGUGAUGCUGAUGGACGAAGCUAAAAUGGAUGAAUCAACCAAGUGCCAGGAUGGAAGAUGCUCACUAAGUGGUCGUCAAUUAACAACACUAACAUAGUGUUAUCCCAUGCAAGCCCCGGUGCAUUUGCCACCUCCUUGUUGUUUUAAAACUUUUAUCACUUAUAUGCUGCAUUAGGUGAUAGGAGUUGAGUGAUGAAACAAUUGAUGCAUUGCCAUUCCUUGGAAUUCGAUUACUAUUCCUUGAUACCUGUUUUAUAAAGAGAACUAAUGAGGCUUAGCCCUGCUUAGAAACUAAAAGUUGUUUCUUUUAAAAAGAAUGUUGUGCAACACUGGAUAUGGGUUUUAUGAAAAAGGAACUUGCAAUAAUGAAGGCAUCACUCGCGAUGAUGAAUUCAUUAUUCGAGUAUUGUACCUCUAUCAGUUACAUGGUUUGGGUGUUAAAUAUUAAGAUGAGACCAGACGUUGAGCAGGAAAGGUCGCCCGUCUGUGUCGAUUAAGGACCGUUCCGAUUGUUGGCCUGCUGAUCUAGGACCCUUUAACUGGCCACAUGCCUCAUCAUGGGUAAGCUUAGCCUCGGCUGGACCAAUACCAAAAAGGCCGGCCCGCAAUGGGAGUGGAGAGAUGGCGAGAGUAUCGUGUAUUCACCUGGCAAGAGGCUGGAUGGUGGGGUACUGAGCUCUCGGUUGGCGGGGACCCGUUCUGGUCUUGAGAAACCCGGUGGCGAGUUGACAUAUGCAAGGGUUAAGUGCUACAUAUGUCGUGUGGUUGGAGAUCCCCAGCUGGGUAUUAAUCGAUUCGGAUCGCCGAACUUCUCGGAUAUGAAGACUGGAUCUUCGACCCUCAUCGUAGAUAACAAGUGAAACUAAAGUUGCUAAAAUGAAGCUAGUGUAGGACAAGUGAAUGCUCUAGAUUAGAUAAAUCUAGAUUCAGGAAAAGUACUUAAUUUGUGAAGUAAAAUUUUUGCAUAAGGAUCCACUACUAGUAAGCUUUUCUGCAAAAAUGAGUCUUGAAACUUGAUGAGCCUUACCUUGAAUCCUUUUAAAUCCAGCAUACCCUUGAGAGUCUUUUCUUUAGUCGGGUAAGUCUUGCUGAGUAAUUGCGUACUCAGGGUUUUAUUCCCUGUUGUUUUUCAGGUUAUAAGUUUGUUCUGUUUUGGAUGGUGCUAAGUGCUGGUGGGCUCGGCCUUCUUAUAUAAGUAUAUCCCAUCUUUAGCUUCUUUAUUGAGGACUGUCACUUAAGCUAGCAUGUAUUUUAAAACUUAUAAAUGUUUUAUACAUUCAAAUUGUAAUCUUUUUGAAUCAAUUUCUUUUGUAAUCAACUCCGACGAUAUAUAUUGUAAUCUUGUUAUAACUUGUAAAUGUUGUAACUUGUAACCAUUUUGUAAUAAAGAAUUUCCGCUGCAAAUGUUGGUGUGUGAUUUGUGUUUA